GGAGAGGUGGCCGAGCGGCUGAAGGCGACCGUCUCGAAAACGGUUAGGGCUUACCACCCUCGCGAGUUCGAAUCUCGCCCUCUCCGCCA
rnacentral:tRNA from 1 species